rnacentral:rRNA from 1 species
AUUGAACGCUGGCGGCAUGCCUACACAUGCAAGUCGAACGGUAACAGGUCUUCGGAUGCUGACGAGUGGCGAACGGGUGAGUAAUGUAUCGGAACGUGCCCAGUCGUGGGGGAUAACUACUCGAAAGAGUGGCUAAUACCGCAUACGACCUGAGGGUGAAAGCGGGGGAUCGCAAGACCUCGCGCGAUUGGAGCGGCCGAUAUCAGAUUAGGUAGUUGGGGGGGUAAAGGCUCACCAAGCCAACGAACUGUAGCUGGUCUGAGAGGACGACCAGCCACACUGGGACUGAGACACGGCCCAGACUCCUACGGGAGGCAGCAGUGGGGAAUUUUGGACAAUGGGCGCAAGCCUGAUCCAGCCAUGCCGCGUGCGGGAAGAAGGCCUUCGGGUUGUAAACCGCUUUUGUCAGGGAAGAAACGACUUGCUCUAAUACAGUGGGUUAAUGACGGUACCUGAAGAAUAAGCACCGGCUAACUACGUGCCAGCAGCCGCCGUAAGAC